GACGAACGCUGGCGGCGUGCUUAACACAUGCAAGUCGAACGCUGAAGCCCUUUCGGGGGUGGAUGAGUGGCGAACGGGUGAGUAACACGUGGGUAAUCUGCCCUGCACUCUGGGAUAAGCCUUGGAAACGGGGUCUAAUACCGGAUAGGACACAUCGCCGCAUGGGGUGUGUGUGGAAAGUUCCGGCGGUGCAGAGUUGAGCCCGCGGCCUAUCAGCGUGUUGGUGGGGUGAUGGCCUACCAAGGCGAAGCCGGGUAGCCGGCCUGAGAGGGUGGCCGGCCACACUGGGACGGCGACACGUCCCACACUCCUACGGGAGGCAGCAGUGGGGAAUCUUGCGCACUGGGCGAAAGCCUGACGCAGCAACGCCGCGUGGGGGAUGACGGCCGUCGGGUUGUAAAACUCUUUCGACCGGGACGAAGGGUGACUGACGGUACCGGUAGAAGAAGCACCGGCUAACUACGUGCCAGCCGCCGCCGUAA
rnacentral:rRNA from 1 species